UACGUAGGGGGCGAGCGUUGUCCGGAAUCAUUGGGCGUAAAGCGCGUGUAGGCGGCCCGGUAAGUCCGCUGUGAAAGUCCAGGGCUCAACCCUGGGAUGCCGGUGGAUACUGUCGGGCUCGAGUCCGGAAGAGGCGAGUGGAAUUCCUGGUGUAGCGGUGAAAUGCGCAGAUAUCAGGAGGAACACCAAUGGCGAAGGCAGCUCGCUGGGACGUGACUGACGCUGAGGAGCGAAAGCGUGGGGAGCGAACAGG
rnacentral:rRNA from 1 species